CCUCGAACAGCCCUUUAUCCAGUCAACAUAGCGACUAACAAAGGCGUAAGGAUCUGGGCUGAAGGAGUGCUGCUCCCCGUCCUGGAUUAGGCCGGGAGGUGUGAGGACAUGAGGUUUCUCCUCAUCCUUUACACCUGCAGCCACACCUCUGCUGUCCUCUUACCUACUGACACACAGAUUGGUGAGCUGGGAUUAAGGAGCUGCUCUAAUGUAACAUCCCACCAAAACCUGGUUAUCCUAGAAGUUAAUUUGCAUCUUAUCAGUGGGGAACUAGAAGUGUUUGGAAAAGGAUGAAAGCAAAUCCAUAAUGAAACUCUUUUCCAGGUUUGGAAAAGAAACAUUGCUGGGGAGGAAUCCAAUGAAUUUAUUAAUGAGCUC